rnacentral:rRNA from 1 species
GAUCCUGGCUCAGGAUGAACGCUGGCGGCGUGCCUAACACAUGCAAGUCGAACGAAGCAAUUAAAAUGAAGUUUUCGGAUGGAUUUUUGAUUGACUGAGUGGCGGACGGGUGAGUAACGCGUGGAUAACCUGGCCUCACACUGGGGGAUAACAGUUAGAAAUGACUGCUAAUACCGCAUAAGCGCACAGUACCGCAUGGUACGGUGUGAAAAACUCCGGUGGUGUGAGAUGGAUCCGCG